ensembl:snoRNA
CCACAGUGACAGCAGUAUUUUUCAUCCACAGUAGUUCACCUUAUGAAUGUUGACACUUUGGGUCUGAGUGA